AGCCCCAGGUGCAUCUGGCACCCAGGAGUACCCUGUUUUAGGAAUCCCUGACUAGUCUAGGUUGAGCUUCAGUGGAACCUCACCUCCAGGUAAGCUUCCGCUUCAGGCCGAGGGAGCUUCUUCCCUAGGAAACGGCAGAAGGCCAUGCUGGGAGUGGAGCCAUAGGAGGGAAGGUGACACUCGAGUCGCUGAUGUUCCCAUGGUUCAGCAGAAAAGAUCAUCAGCAGCAGUAAAAUAGGCAGAGCUGGAUGGAGAAGGCAAUGCAUCGGUGUGGAACUUUUCUAUGUAGAACACCAGUCUGGCAGCUGGGGUGGUGGUGGUAAAUGCCUUUAACCCCAGCACUUGGGAAGCAGAGACAGGCCUGCUUUGGAAUCCCACCUUAAGGUUUUAAAAUAUCCAAUAAAAUUGUAAGCUGCCAUAUAUGGAAGACAAGGAAUCAAAGGCCAUAUAAAAAAGUCCCAAUUGAGCUGGGCAGUGGUGGUGCACCCAUUUAAUCCCAGCACUUGGGAGGUAGAGGCAGAUGGAUCUCAGCCUGGCCUACAAAGUGAAUUCUGGGACAUCCAGGACUGUUACACAAAGAAACCCUGUCUUGAAAAACCGAAAAGAAAAAGAAAAAAAAAAAGUCCCAUCUCUUCCCCGCCCCCCUUUUAAGCAAGAGUUUCACUGAGACUGCUUGG